rnacentral:rRNA from 1 species
GUAAUGGCCUACCAAGGCGACGACGGGUAGCCGACCUGAGAGGGUGACCGGCCACACUGGGACUGAGACGCGGCCCAGACUCCUACGGGAGGCAGCAGUGGGGAAUAUUGCACAAUGGGCGGAAGCCUGAUGCAGCGACGCCGCGUGAGGGAUGAAGGCCUUCGGGUUGUAAACCUCUUUCAGCAGGGACGAAGCGUGAGUGACGGUACCUGCAGAAGAAGCACCGGCUAACUACGUGCCAGCAGCCGCGGUAAUACGUAGGGUGCGAGCGUUGUCCGGAAUUACUGGGCGUAAAGAGUUCGUAGGCGGUCUGUCGCGUCGUUUGUGAAAACCCGGGGCUCAACUUCGGGCUUGCAGGCGAUACGGGCAGACUUGAGUGUUUCAGGGGAGACUGGAAUUCCUGGUGUAGCGGUGAAAUGCGCAGAUAUCAGGAGGAACACCGGUGGCGAAGGCGGGUCUCUGAACUAUUCCUGACACUGAGACACGAAAGCUAGGGGAGCAAACGGGAUUAGAUACCCCGGUAGUCCUAGCCGUAAACGGUGGGCGCUAGGU